CGCAGUACCACUCGUGGAGUCGGCUUCUCAGGAGGAUGACAUGGUUAAUGAAGUUAUUUCUGAAAUAAAUAUGUUUCUUUCAUUAUGUGUACUUAUUGCAGGCUCUCAAAUUAAACGGGAGUCAUUUGUUGGGCUUUCCAGUUGAGCUUGAGUUUUCGAGAUAUAGUAUAUCAAGUCUUUUAUCUUCAAAUGGAAGUUAUUGAAAACGGUUGAGUUUCAUGAUUUUAAUUACUACAGUAAAAAGAUAAAGGAAUUAAAACGCAAAACUGUACCUUCUUGAGUUGUACCUGUGACAAAUUUCGAUACAAGACUUCCAAACAUAGAGGUAAGGUUGCUUUCAGAACAUUUUCAACUCGAAUUGGUGUCUCGUGACUUUAUAGCAAGCGUAUUCUACAUGUGCACUUAAAGUUUCAUGACUAUUUAUAAAUCACAGACAGAGAAUUUCAUAAAAAGUCUUUUCUCUCCAUGCGGCAACGUCAAACAAGUGAAAUUUAUCAGUACAGAUGAUCAACGCAAAGGGUUUGCCUUUCUCUCUCAUCAUUCUCCCCCUCCCAAGCCUUCUAUCUUUAGUUUUAUUUUUCUUCCUGAAUGUGAUUGUUAUGUUUUUGGUCAUGAAAGCCUAAUGGGUCAACAUGCAGAACAAUGACUGCGGGUUCCAAACAUAUGGGAUGGAUUAAGCUGUCUUCGUAGUUUUGUUGCAUAUUGGAGGUUUAGAAUAAUAUACGAUAUAUUUAUUAACUAUUCUUUGGAUGUAAUUUUGCCUUUGUAUAUUUUUUUGAUGCAGGAGCUGCUGAGAAUGCUCUAAGAGUUGGUUGGACUACAUAUGGUGAACGUGAGUUAAGUGUGGUACCGACAAAGAAGUAUGCAGCAAAUUCUCUCUCCUCAAGACAAAUUGUGUGCUUUUAUAAUAGGAGAGACACUUGUCUCUCUUGUGUUUAAGACUACCUCCAAGCAGGAUGUGCGAGGAAACUAGGUGAGGUGUGUAUAUGCUGCACCUACAUGCUUGCUUCACCUAUGUUUUUGCUUCACCAACUCUCAAGG